UACGUAGGGGGCAAGCGUUGUCCGGAUUCAUUGGGCGUAAAGAGCGUGUAGGCGGCCAGGUAGGUCGGUUGUGAAAACUGGAGGCUCAACCUUCAGAGGUCGACCGAAACCAUCUGGCUAGAGUCCGGGAGAGGAGAGUGGAAUUCCUGGUGUAGCGGUGAAAUGCGUAGAUAUCUGGAGGAAUACCGGUGGCGAAGGCGGCAUCCUGGACCGGCAUUGACGCUGAGGAGCGAAAGCUAGGGGAGCAAACGGGG
rnacentral:rRNA from 1 species